GCCUUACACAACCUAUGCUCAAUCAUUGGAAAUAACUCAUCAAUAGCAUUACUUAAGCCCUUCUACUUAUCCGUCAUCACAGUCCAAUCAAUACCAUUUCCUAUCCGAAUAUCCUCAGCCAGAUAUCUCAUAAAUCAUCUCCAUGCAAUACUAUUCUCUUUCUGUACAACAAUAUAAGAAACUAGAUAGAUGCAGUCGUUCGUAUCUAGGCCGACUGCAAUGAGCAUUAUACCCUUCCAAACACCAUGAAAGUGGCACACGUCUACUCCAACGGUCUUUCUACACCCAUGUCGAAACCCUGCUUUGCAAGCAUUGAAACAAAUAGAGAUACCUUGAAACACCUAACCAUUAAGUGCUAUCAUCACUAUUGAUUUUACAUUCGACCUCAAGAUCUUCGUCGUGUAUGACCUUAGUGCAACAAAUUGUUCUUUGAUAGUCCCGUUUAUCAUCUGCUUCGCAUAUCUUCUCACAUUCCAAGCUACAUUUUUAGUAAUCUUUAUCUUUAGGUCCUUCAUGGCCGCUUGCAUACCUUUCGUUUUCCACUUUGGAUCUACUUUAACCUGCUCGAAAUGCCGAUGAAGUAUGAAAAUGUAGUUACAAUGACAAUUAUAUGAUCUCGAUUACAUUUGUGUUGAGGCGUAUAUGACUUCACUUAAAUCGUAUCUAAAUUAUUCAUCUUGGACGCCCAUAUUCUUCAUUUGCACUCUGCUUUACAAAUGCCUUGAACUGUUCUUUCGUCAUUUACCUUAUACUUUACAUUGUAUCCAUUUACUGCACCGUAAGUCCAAAUAGCCUUUCUAAAUUCUUGAAUAGAACUAAACAACUACUCGACUUUAAAAUAUGAAUCCCGCAUAUCCAUUUUCGUUGUGAACUUCGAAAAUCAACACUCA
rnacentral:lncRNA from 1 species